CAGAGGCCUGCUUCACACGGGGGCAGAGGCCUUUGCCUGGCGCACGUCACCUGAGCUGCCCUGGUUGCUGCCAACACAGGCCCUGGGAGGCCUGCAGGGGGGAACGGAGGCCUGGAGAAGGACAGGGCUCCUUGAGCCCCGGGAGCACCGGGGGAGGCCCAGGCAGGCUGCGAGUCACGGGUGCCUGGAGCUCCGAAGGUCUGUGACUCCUAAGCGGGGGAAAUGCCAACUACACUUUAACUGGCCGAGUUCUCCGACCCUGAGUGCUCCGGACGCCUUCCCACCGUCCAGCCCGCACCCAUGCUGAUGAAAUCAGAGCCCCUGGGGUGGGACCCUCCAGGUAAACCCUGUGCUUGCAUGUACCCUACUGGGCUGUCCUGUCCUCCCGGUUCGCCAUGCGGCCUCGGGCAGUGCCUUGGGCAAGUGAUUGCUGUAGAGCCCAAAUCUGUGAAAUACACUUACCAAAACCUGCUGUGGAAUGGUUCGCAGAGUUUAACAUGCACAUGAGGCGUUUCGCCCAGGGCCUGGCACGCAGGAACGUUCACUCAACGAUGGCUUGAAAAAUGUUUAAAUGAUAGCGGAAGCAACGUAGGACACCCCCCGCCCCGCAUCAGACACACUCUGACAGCCGGGCACCCGCUGACCUGCAUCCGGGCCCUGAGGCGGGCCUCGCUCGCCCUCCAGUUAGCGCUUCUGCGCGCUGGAAGUAAGAACCAAGUUUGCCAGCGCUGUGCUGCUCAGCCCCUGUGCGACAUCGCUGCCCUGCGCUGGGCUUUCUCCUGUCUUGUUCCUGACCAGCCUCGGGGGGUCCCUGAGCCCUGUCCCUCAGCCUCCCUGGCCUAUGGCACUCACGGUCUCUCUCCAGCGCUCAGGGAGGACCUGCCCUGCUCUCCUGACAUCCUGGAGUUCAUGCCCGAGACGGAUGCGGGACAAGCGUGUCCUUUGCCACCUCCACGCUGGCUGAGACACAAUAGGAUGGCCAUUUCCCAACCUGAGCACUGAGCACACAGCAAGGGCUUGAGAACAGGUUUUUAAAAAAAUUUAUUGAUUGAUUCUUGGCCACAUUAGGUCUUUGUUGCUGUGCGCAGGCUUUCUCUAGUUACAGUGAGCGGGGGCUACUCUUCCUCGUGGUGCGUGGGCUUCUCAUUGCAGUGGCUUCUCUUGUGGCAGAGCACGGGCUCCAGGUGCGUGGGCUUCAGUAGUUGUGGCGCACGGGCUUAGUGGCUCCACGGCAUGUGGGAUCUUCGCGGACCAGGACUCAAACCCGUGUCCCCUGCAUUGGCAGGCGGAUUCUUAACCACUGCGCCACCAGGGAAGUCCUUGAGAACAGUUUCUAACGUGCGUAAAAUAACCCAAGCCUAACGGGGCAGAGCGCACCUUGGUGGGUGGCAGAGAAUUAAAAAUGUCAAAUUUCCUGUCUUUUUAACCUGUACGAUUUGUUUCUCCUGGCGGCUGGCCUAUUACGCAUCACACACCUGCACGGCGGGGCUGGCCGCGCUGCUUCUCCACUUGAUCACUGGAACACGCAGGCAGAGAAGACAGAAGAGGGUCUGUAGGAGGAGGCGGGGAAAAGGCAAAACCAGUUGCUGCCACCAGGCACUAGAGAGGCAUCCAUGUGCCAAUAACAUGAGCUAAGGAAUGCAGCAGGUGCCCGGAGUGCGACGUCUGCAGGCGCAGGGAGCUGAUGCUCGCUUCCUCUGAACAAGCUUCAAAGAGCUGGUCCUGCAGGGCUGCUGACAGUUUCUGCUCUCACACACUGUAAAACAGCAUCGGGAAUGUUUAACAAGUUUGUCCCUUAUGCCGCCUUGAAUGACAGAAGAAGCCCAUUACGUGCUACAUGCAGACAUUUUUGCUUAUUUUAGCAUAACCUGAUAAUUGGUAAUUUCCACUUCUUUUCAUUAUCUUACCAUGGGUGUGGGUGUUUCCUUUUUUUUUCAAGGUCCAUUAACUUCAUUUAAAUGUUCCCAUCCUUAGUAAUUUCUAAGGGAAAUUCUAAGUUUAGAUUUUACAAACAAAAACAACUUGAAGGUAUCAGCUGUUGUUUUAUCCCUUCUUCAAUGCAGUCUCAAAGGUGUUUUUGCUAUUCAUUUUCAUAAUUUUAUUAUGUCAUACACAAAAAUAAGACUCCCCCUCUAAAUGCAGAGUACAGGAGAAAAUACACUGUAUUUCAAACAAAAAAUGUUUAUGAAAAAACCCACCAUCCAAAAAAACAAAAAGACUCCCACCCUAUUAAAUUGGGUGGAACCAACUGGGUUUUAUAAAUGAAAAAAAUCCUUCUGCUUUAUUUAGCAUAAUAAAACAUUUCAUUGUACUGCGUUUGUGC